GAGGCCAAACCUCAAAGAGUCAACUCUGCGUUUACUCCAAGACAUAAAUUGGUUCUAUAUAGUACGAUCCAAUUUAAUAACCCCUGUAGUAGUUGGAA
rnacentral:sRNA from 10 species